rnacentral:rRNA from 1 species
GUCUAUGGCCAUACCACCCUGAACACGCCUGAUCUUGUCUGAUCUCAGAAGCUAAGCAGGGUCGGGCCUGGUUAGUACUUGGAUGGGAGAAAAAGCCAAAUAUUGCUUGAGUGAAAUACGUGGAAUCUAAGCCU